CUCCUUUGACGUUAGCGGCGGACGGGUGAGUAACACGUGGGUAACCUACCUAUAAGACUGGGAUAACUUCGGGAAACCGGAGCUAAUACCGGAUAAUAUUUGAACCGCAUGGUUCGAUAGUGAAAGGUGGUUUUGCUAUCACUUAUAGAUGGACCCGCGCCGUAUUAGCUAGUUGGUAAGGUAACGGCUUACCAAGGCGACGAUACGUAGCCGACCUGAGAGGGUGAUCGGCCACACUGGAACUGAGACACGGUCCAGACUCCUACGGGAGGCAGCAGUU
rnacentral:rRNA from 1 species